rnacentral:rRNA from 1 species
UACGAAGGGGGCUAGCGUUGUUCGAAUUUACUGGGCGUAAAGGGCGCGUAGGCGGAUUUUUUAGUCGGGGGUGAAAUCCCGGAGCUAAACUCCGGAACUGCCUUCGAUACUGAAAGUCUGGAGCACGGUAGAGGUGAGUGGAAUUCCGAGUGUAGAGGUGAAAUUCGUAGAUAUUCGGAGGAACACCAGUGGCGAAGGCGGCUCACUGGACCGUUGCUGACGCUGAGGCGCGAAAGCGUGGGGAGCAAACAGG